rnacentral:tRNA from 2 species
GCGCCCAUAGCUCAACUGGAUAGAGUGCCGGCCUACGAAGCCGUAGGUUCCCCGUUCGAACCGGGGUGGGCGCGCCA